rnacentral:rRNA from 1 species
CCUACGGGAGGCAGCAGUGGGGGAUAUUGCACAAUGGGGGGAACCCUGAUGCAGCGACGCCGCGUGGGUGAAGAAGCGCCUCGGCGCGUAAAGCCCUGUCAGCAGGGAAGAAAAUGACGGUAACUGAAGAAGAAGCCCCGGCUAACUACGUGCCAGCAGCCGCGGUAAUACGUAGGGGGCAAGCGUUAUCCGGAUUUACUGGGUGGAAAGGGGGCGCAGACGGCGAUGCAAGCCAGGGGUGAAAGCCCGGGGCCCAACCCCGGGACUGCUCUUGGAACUGCGUGGCUGGAGUGCAGGAGGGGCAGGCGGAAUUCCUGGUGUAGCGGUGAAAUGCGUAGAUAUCAGGAGGAACACCGGUGGCGAAGGCGGCCUGCUGGACUGCAACUGACGUUGAGGCUCGAAAGCGUGGGGAGCAAACAGGAUUAGAUACCCCAGUAGUC